rnacentral:rRNA from 1 species
UACGUAGGUGGCAAGCGUUGUCCGGAUUUGUUGGGUUUAAAGGGUGCGUAGGCGGCCUAUUAAGUCAGUGGUGAAAUAUUUCAGCUCAACUGGAAUUGUGCCAUUGAUACUGAUGGGCUUGAGUACAGAUGAGGUAGGCGGAAUUGACGGUGUAGCGGUGAAAUGCUUAGAUAUCGUCAAGAACACCUAUAGCGAAGGCAGCUUACUAGGCUGUAACUGACGCUGAGGCACGAAAGUGUGGGGAGCAAACAGG